AGGACGAACGCUGGCGGCGUGCUUAACACAUGCAAGUCGAGCGGUAAGGCCCUUCGGGGUACACGAGCGGCGAACGGGUGAGUAACACGUGGGUAACCUGCCCUGUACUUUGGGAUAAGCCCGGGAAACUGGGUCUAAUACCGGAUACGACCUUUGGCGCAUGCUGGAGGGUGGAAAGUUCUGGCGGUACAGGAUGGGCCCGCGGCCUAUCAGCUUGUUGGUGGGGUGAUGGCCUACCAAGGCGACGACGGGUA
rnacentral:rRNA from 1 species